CCGCGCCGCCCCUCAGCGCCUCUUAUUUUUUUCCUGUGAAAAAUAAACAUUUUGGAUCGUUGUCCGGCGAUGUUUUCUUCGCCUCAGCCACCGCACAGCGCCCGGAGAGUGUCGGGGUGGGGGAAUCUGCGUUGCUGAGGGGUUUUGGGUUGUGUGGGAAGGAGAUGAAAAUCAGGCGAAGCCGUAGGUGGGACUUCAGAGUUUAUUGUGUGACGUUUGGGGUUCAGAGCUGUGGGGGGGUCGUGGGUUUGUGACAGGGGACAUCUGAGGGCUUCCAGUGGACAUCAAGCUACCGUCUGUGCCUGGUAGAAACCUCUUCCAUGGGUGCAGUAAUUCUGGAGAGCUGCUGCUGUUCGAUGGAGGAUUCUUGCAGCAUCAUCCAGAGCCCGACCUUUACCCUCAGUUCUCCAGCGUGGUGUGAAGAUCUAGGAGCAGCCUGGACUGGGGCCGAAACCUCUGUUUUGAUACUCCCAAGAUGUCUGUCUUCAAAAGGUGCCAACAUUUCUCGAUAAGUUAUCUCAGGAGCCAAAACAACAGGUGACAGAAGGACUGUUGCUUUCAAGGACACCACUUCAGGUCACACCAUUCAGAUGAGCUGAGCACCAUGGAAAGCUUGAUAGUUGUUGGAUUUAGGCAGAGCCUCAUGCUAAUAAAGCUGCAGUAUGCCCAAAAAGAAGAUGUCUGCUUGAGCAUUGCUUAUCCUGAAGAACAGAAGCACAGGGAGAGAUUACACAGAAUUAAGAUCACGAAAGGAGGCAAUACUAUCAACAAUAUUAAAAGAAAUAGUAAUUUCAUAAUUUCAUAAAUAAUUUCAUUUUCUUCCAUUCCUGCAAGUCACGUCAGAAGCUUUAAACCAACUAUGCCUCUCUUUAUCAAGCCCUCUUAUGAAGCAAGGAUGGGAAACUACCAGAAUCCUCAAAAGCAAAUGACAUAGGAAAGGAAUUCUCUCCAUAGGUAAGCAUUACAAUUUCAAGAAGACCAGCCAACCUACGUAACAUUCUGAACUGCCACUGGAAGAAACCCAUAGAAGCUCUCACAUUUUGUGUAAGCAGGGAGGGAGCCAGAUCGUUCCUGGAAUGCAGUGAGCAAUCCAAGCUUUUGUAACCAUACAAUGUGCAAGUGCUUCAUUAUAUAGCAUCGGUCACUUGGUCAAGGAGCAGAUUUAUUUUGCAAACAUUAUAGUCCAACAAAUGAGCAGUUUGCCACGAAUGUGAAAAUGAAAUGUCAUCUCAGUAUGCGUGGAGGACUCUUCACCAGCUGGUUAUCCUUGUACUUUGCAGAACAGGAACCUUACUGAAUGACACAAAAGGAUCCCCAAGAGAUGUACGACCUAUUGGAAUCACCUUGAGAGAAAAAAGGGUUUUUCUGAAGUUAAAUGUUUGAUUUUUUUUCUUCAACUUGCAGUAAGUAGUAUUUAACAUUUUGGCUUUCUUCACAUAAUCCAGUUACGCUGGUUGUCCUGCUAGCAUUAAAGAGAGGCUUCCUUUUAGCUUACAAGACUGCUUAUCCUAUUGCUUUUUGUUUCAGCUAUUAUAAAUAUUCUAACAUUCAAUAGUAAUUACAGAUGAACUUUUAAAGCACUUGGUCCAAGCAUUUUCACCAAAGAGAAACUGCUCCAUUCAUGACAUACAGUCAUGGCCAUCCCAAGGAAGACACUAGGCUACACUAAGCUUUUUCCUCAUUUUUCUUAAAUAGUUCUCUUUGUUAGUGCCAAUUACAAGAAGAAGAUGGCUUGGACUCCCAAAUUCACUGAAUACCUCCAGAAAACCACCAAUAACUGGGUAACACACUAGGAUGCAACAAAAACACCCCAGCAUCUGGAAUGGAAAGCUUCAAUACCUGCCUGGCACCCAAACAGCACAUCUGAGAGAGCAACCACUGCUGUGAGUGCUCGUUUUUUGGUCCUUCCCAUCUUCUGUACAACAGUUACUAACAAAAGGGAGAAAAAACUCACACCUUUUUUAACAUAAGCAGGAAGUGAGAGGCUGAGGAAAAAAAUACACUGAAGUUGGAUGACAUUUUUUUAUUCCCGUGAAACAUCUGAAAUGGCUGUAGGGAACCAAAUCAGUGGAAAUGGGCAAAUGAGACAGGAAUUAAUUAACCCACCAAAACCUCAAUUUUAUUUACUUCUGUGGGCACUAUUUAGUGCCAACAUCUAAUGUGCAUUUUGGAUAAAAGUUUUUCUUUAAAUAUCUGCCAUGGUAACUACUUCAUUCUGGAGAUAACAUUUAUGACCACAAAAAUCCUCAGCUGUCCUCCUCUGAAUUUGGGAAAUAACAUCUAGGGCAUUUCCUAAGGUGAAAAAUGAGACAAAAGAGUUUGUGCUGCUUCUCAGGCCUUUCUUAAGUAUCACAGAGAUCUGCAGUGCUUUUCUUAAUGUGAAAAUAACACAUAUGCAACACACAAGUGUUGGCUGAAGGAUAUUCUAAUACCAAGUGUGGUGAAUAAUGGCUGUUUACACAGGAGUUAAACAAAAAGACAUCACUCUCACAACAAGUCUUUUGACUCUCCCCUUUUCUCCACCCACAAAUACGUCAGCAUCCGGUGUAUUUUUAACAGCUUGGUUUUGGUACAUAACUUCCUACACAAAAGGGACACUCCGUGUACUCCAGCAGCACAUUGUGCAUGGCUGUUAAGUAGCAGCAAGACAAGGGAUACCCUAUACUGGGAAAUGUAAGAGAUGAUGGGCAAAACGCUGUGAAGUUCCUCUGCAAAGGGACGUAAAGGAAAGGGUCUUGAAAUGUGGAAAAAGGGUCUGACCACUUGGGAAGAAUAUAGGAAUGUAGUCAGGGCCUGCAGGGAUGCAACGAGGAAGGCUAAAACCCGCCUGGAAUUUAAUCUGGCUGAAGUGAUAAAGGGUAAUAAAAAAGGCUUCUUCAAGUAUGUUAACAGCAAAAGGAAAACUAGAGAGAAUGUGGGCCCCUUACUAAGUGA